rnacentral:rRNA from 1 species
CGCUUUUUGUUAUUAUUACAUAAAAAGUAGAGCCUGCCCAGUGAAUUAAACUUUAAACGGCCGCAGUACCCUGACUGUGCGAAGGUAGCAUAAUAGUUUGCUUCUUAAUUAGAAGCUAGAAUGAAUGGUUUGACGAGGGCUUAACUGUCUCAAUUAUGAUUUAAUAGAAAUUAACUUUUAGGUGCAGAGACCUAAAUUUAACUAAAGGACAAGAAGACCCUAUUGAGCUUUAAUAAACAUUAUAAAAUAAAUUCUAUUUAUAUAAAAUUUUAUUUAUAAUAUUAUUUUGAUUGGGGCGAUCAAGGAAUAAAAAAAACUUCCUUUAAACAAUUUUUAACAUAUAAGUUUUGAUCCAGAUAUUUCUGAUCAAAAGAAAAAGUUACCAUAGGGAUAACAGCGUAAUCCUUUUUGAGAGCACAUAUCGAAAAAGGGGGUUGCGACCUCGAUGUUGGACUAAGAUAUCCUAAAGGUGCAGCAGUUUCUAAGGGUUGG